AACGUAGGACGCAAGCGUUAUCCGGAGUUACUGGGCGUAAAGCGCGGGCAGGCGGUUGGUCAAGUCUGAUGUGAAAUCUCCUCGCUCAACGGGGAGCAGCCAUUGGAAACUGGGCAACUGGAGUCUGGCAGAGGUAGGCGGAAUUCCGGGUGGAGUGGUGGAAUGCGUAGAGAUCCGGAGGAACACCAGAGGCGAAGGCGGCCUACUGGGCCAGUACUGACGCUGAGCCGCGAAAGCCAGGGGAGCGAACGGG
rnacentral:rRNA from 1 species